rnacentral:lncRNA from 1 species
GGGCUCUAGGGCGUGUCUGUGGGUUCCGCGGGCCGGAGCUGCUGAGGGGAAUUGGUGGGCGGCUUGGGACCCUGGCCCCUGUUCCCAGGCCUCGGGAGGACGCCAGGCCGCGGGGAGCCUCGGCCUGGGGAGGGAAGGAGGACGGAGCCAGAGACCCUGAACUCGCGCCUUGUGCAGAGUGGACGCCAACAGUGCCAUCGAAAAGUUUAUUGCAGGGAGGUGACAAGAUCACAUUUUGAGAAGAAGCUGGAAAGAAGCCCGAGUGGAUUAAGAAGCCCCGGAUGAGGACAGGAUCUCUGGGGAGAAACUCUAAGAUGAGGAAACAAGCUUAAGAGAGCCAUCCAGCUGCCACAUGCCAGAGCCCAGAUUUACUAAGAUCUCUCUUCUGUUCAAACCUUGUGAACAGAAAAAGGAUUGCUUAUGAGUUGGCAUAAGAAAA